GGACCGGUAGUUAAGAGGUAUAACGCGUCGAACUUGAGGUCUCAAUUUCUUCGAAUCGGGGGUUCGAAUCUCCCUCGGUCCC
rnacentral:tRNA from 1 species